CCUACGGUAGGCUGCAGUGGGGAAUAUUGGGCAAUGGACGCAAGUCUGACCCAGCAACGCCGCGUGAAGGAAGCAGGCUUUCGGGUUGUAAACUUCUUUUAAGGGGGAAGAGCAGAAGACGGUACCCCUUGAAUAAGCCACGGCUAACUACGUCCCAGCAGCCGCGGGAAUACGUAGGUGGCAAGCGUUGUCCGGAUUUACUGGGUGUAAAGGGCGUGCAGCCGGGAAGACAAGUCAGAUUUGAAAUCCCGCGGCUCAACCGCGGAACUGCAUGUGAAACUGUUUUUCUUGAGUAUCGGAGAGGUAAUCGGAAUUCCUAGUGUAGCGGUGAAAUGCGUAGAUAUCAGGAGGAACACCGGCGGGGAAGGCGGCCUGCUGGACUGCGACUGACGUUGAGGCUCGAAAGCGUGGGGAGCGAACAGGAUUAGAUACCCCGGUAGUC
rnacentral:rRNA from 1 species